CGCGCACACACCGCCCGUCACUCUCCCCAAGCCAAUCACAACACCAUAAAUAAUACACACCGCCGGUAAAGGGGAGGCAAGUCGUAACAUGGUAAGUGUACCGGAAGGUGCACUUGGAAAAAU
rnacentral:rRNA from 1 species